GGCUCUGUUUCAACCAAGCAGAGCAGGCGGUUCACUGACAAAUCUCAGAAAUGUACCAGCGAGCAUUCUUGGUGCAAGUUGUUGUUGGCCCCUUCCACACAGCUGAGAAUAUAUGAUCAGUUUUAUGAAUGAAUUAAACCCACAGUUUACAGAGUGA
rnacentral:lncRNA from 11 species